UACGUAGGGGGCGAGCGUUGUCCGGAUUUAUUGGGCGUAAAGAGCUCGUAGGCGGUUUGGUAAGUCGGUGGUGAAAUCCUGGAGCUCAACUCCAGAACUGCCUUCGAUACUGAGAGUCUUGAGUCCGGGAGAGGUGAGUGGAACUGCGAGUGUAGAGGUGAAAUUCGUAGAUAUUCGCAAGAACACCAGUGGCGAAGGCGGCUCACUGGCCCGGUACUGACGCUGAGGUGCGAAAGCGUGGGGAGCAAACAGG
rnacentral:rRNA from 1 species